AGACUAUCAAUCAGCGGUGGGCCAAAUAUGAAGAAGACAGUAUGGAGAAUUUGCUCCAAGGUGUUCACCAGUAAUGUUGCCCGGCAACUGAAUUGGUGUGGUAGGGGAGACAAAAGAGGAAUCCGUAAGACAAAUAUUGGUGCCCUCUUAAUAGCCUCAGCUAUGAGGAAUCCGGUCCUUUUGUCCCCAACUGAAGCGGACGCAGAAAAAAUCAUCAAAGAUUUCCUACGCUUGGCCCCAGGGAGGGUGUAAUUGUUGUUUUAUAUGUUUUGAAGUCAUGUUUGUUAUGACAAAAGUGUAGUGUUGUUUACAUUUAAUAUUAUAUUUAAUAUGGUGUUCAAGUUAAAAUAGUUUCUUUACCUAUUAUUAAAAUAGGCAAAUGCAUGUAUUAUUUUAAGUU